rnacentral:rRNA from 1 species
AGUGAACGCUGGCGGCAGGCCUAAUACAUGCAAGUCGAACGGCAGCACAGCAGAGCUUGCUCUGUGGGUGGCGAGUGGCGGACGGGUGAGGAAUACGUGGGAAUCUGCCCAGUCGUGGGGAUAACGUAGGGAAACUUACGCUAAUACCGCAUGCGCCCUUCGGGGAAAGCCGGGGACCUUCGGGCCUGGCGCGAUUGGAUGAGCCCACGUCGGAUUAGCUAGUUGGCGGGGUAAAGGCCCACCAAGGCGACGAUCCGUAGCUGGUCUGAGAGGAUGAUCAGCCACACUGGAACUGAGACACGGUCCAGACUCCUACGGGAGGCAGCAGUAGGGAAUAUUGGACAAUGGGCGCAAGCCUGAUCCAGCCAUGCCGCGUGAGUGAAGAAAGCCCUCGGGUGUAAAGCUCUUUUGUCCGGAAAGAAAAGCGCCGGGUUAAUACCCUGGUGUCCUGACGGUACCGGAAGAAUAAGCACCGGCUAACUUCGUGCCAGCAGCCGCGGUAAU